rnacentral:rRNA from 1 species
AGACGGGGGGGGCCAGCGUUGUUCGGAAUUACUGGGCGUAAAGGGUGCGCAGGCGGCCUGGGAAGUCUUGGGUGAAAGCCCCCAGCUCAACUGGGGAAUGGCCUGAGAAACCACUGGGCUGGAGUGCUGGAGAGGGAAGCGGAAUUCCCGGUGGAGCGGUGAAAUGCGUAGAUAUCGGGAGGAACACCAGAGGCGAAGGCGGCUUCCUGGACAGACACUGACGCUGAGGCACGAAAGCUAGGGGAGCAAACGGGAUUAGAAACCCCAGUAGUCC